rnacentral:rRNA from 1 species
AUUGAACGCUGGCGGCAGGCCUAACACAUGCAAGUCGAACGGAGUGGCGGACGGGUGAGUAAUGUCUGGGAAACUGCCCGAUGGAGGGGGAUAACGUAGGGAAACUUACGCUAAUACCGCAUACGAUUGAAUGAGCCGAUGUCGGAUUAGCUAGUUGGCGGGGUAAAGGCCCACCAAGGCGACGAUCCCUAGCUGGUCUGAGAGGAUGAUCAGUCACACUGGAACUGAGACACGGUCCAGACUCCUACGGGAGGCAGCAGUGGGGAAUAUUGGACAAUGGGCGAAAGCCUGAUCCAGCCAUGCCGCGUGUGUGAAGAAGGUCUUCGGAUUGUAAAGCACUUUAAGUUGGGAGGCGUUACCAACAGAAUAAGCACCGGCUAACUUCGUGCCAGCAGCCGCGGUAAUUC